GGUUUGAUUCUGAAAUAAGUUGAACGCUGGCCGGGAUGCUUUACACAUGCAAGUCAGGCAGCACGGACUUCGGUCUGGUGGCGAGUGGCGAACGGAGGCGUGUGUAUCGGAACGUGCCUAGUAAUGGCGGGGAUAACUACGCGAAAGCGUAGCCUAAUGCCGCAUACGCCCUUCGGGGAAAGCGGGGGACCUUCGGGCCUCGCACUAUUAGAGCGGCCGAUAUCGGAUUAGCUGGUUGGUGGGAGAUAACGGCUCACCAAAGGCGACGUCGUAAGCUGGUUUUGAAGGACGACCAGCCACACUGGGACUGGAACGGCGGGCGCUCCUACGGGAGGCAGCAGUGAAAUUUUGGACAAUGGGGGAAACCCUGAUCCAGCCAUCCCGCGUGUGCGAUGAAGGCCUUCGGGUUGUAAAGCACUUUUGGCAGGAAAGCGGCCUGGAUAAUACCCCGUGCAACUGACGUACCUGCAGAAUAAGCACCGGCCUAACCCGUGCCAGCAACCAGCGAAAGUAAUACGUAGGGUGUGUAAGCGUUAAUCAGGUACUGGGCGUAAAGAAAGCGUGCGCAGGCGGUUCGAAGAAGAUCUUGAAAUCCCAGAGCUUAGCACUAGAGUGCAUUUUUAACUACCGAACAGAGUGUAUAAGAGGAGGUGGAGUUACAUGUGUAGCAGUGAAAUGCGUAGAUAUGCGGAGGGACACCGAUGGCGAAAGCAGCCUCCUGGGAUAACACUGACGCUCAUUGCACGAAAGCGUGGGGAGCAAGCAGUUAGAUACACCUGUUGGUCCCGCCCUAAACGAUGUCAAUAGCUGUUGAAAUUCGAGGCCUUGGUAGCGCAGCUAACGCGUGAAGUUGACCGCCCGAGAGUACGGUCGCAAGAUUACAAAACUCAAAAAGUUGGGCAGGGAUUCCGCACAAGCGGUGGAUGAUGUGGAUUAAUUCGGUGCAACGCGAGAACCUUACCUACCCUUGACAUGUCUGGAAUCCCGAAGAGAUUUAGGUGCUCGCAAGGGAACCGGAACACAGGUGCUGCAUGGCUGUCGUCAGCUCGUGUCGUGAGAUGUUGGGUUAAGUCCCGCAACGAGCGCAGCCGCGUCAUUGGUUCGCUACGAAAGGGCACUCUAAUGAGACUGCCGGUGAUAAACCGGAGGAAGGUGGGGAUGACGUCAAGUCCUCAUGGCCCUUAUGGUGGGGCUUCACACGUCAUACAGUGGUCGGGACAGAGAUCGCCAACCCGCGAAGAGGGAGCCCGUCAGAAACCCGAUCGUAGUCAGGAUCGCAGUCUGCAGCCUCAACUGCGUGAAGUCGGAAUCGCUAGUAAUCGCGGAUCGGCAUGUCUGCGGUGAUACGUUCCCAAGGUGCUUGUACACACCGCCCGUCACACCAUGGAAUUGGGUUUUGCCCAGUAGUUAGCUAACCGUAAGGAGGGCGAUUACCACGGUAGGAUUCAUGACUGGGGUGAAGUCGUAAUAAGGUAG
rnacentral:rRNA from 1 species